CCAAUUCGUGUGGAUUGGACGCUUCAAAGAAAGCGUAGCUCCCACUGAGAAAAGAGAGGGGUGGGUGGGAGAAGAGAACAAAAACUCACCUAGAGAGAGAGAGAGGCUGUGGCCUUGUGGGGGAGAGGAGAGAGGAGUCCUUUGCUGUUGCAGCAGCAGCCGAGGAAGGAGAGGGAGAGGAAAAGUAGGUGAGGGGAGCUUACUACUCAUGAAGCAGUGAAGCACCUCACACCUGAUCUCCCACCUCAUGCAUGUUGCAUCGCCUGCAUGUGAGGGGGAAGGAGGACGAGCAUGGCGGAGAGAGUUCAGAGUGGAGGUGAGCCAUUGGAGGAGGGGAGGGCAGCCAGGCCGGCCAAAAGGAGAUUUGGCGCGGUGAGCCCACCCCCCAGCUGAGGAAAAGAGGCGAGGGAGGAGGAAGAGGAUCUCCUCUUACGUCGAAGGAGAGGGAACGCAUAAAGGGUGGGGAGGGGGAAGGGGUGAGCUUCCAGGCCGCACAGCCCAGCCAAAGCAAGAAAAAGCUGCAGAAAGAAAGAAAGCGAGGAGGAAAGAAGGCUUUAGAGUGAGGCCAAGGGAUCGAGUGGGUGAGAUAUAUAGCGACUCCGACCCGAGAGCAUCUGGUGCUCUUGCCACUCCUUCUCCCUUUUCUUUUGUUCUCCCUCCAUUGUAGGUGUGUUGUUAGUGUGGAGGUCAGUAGCUAGGUGGUAGCUUAGCGUGCUCUUCGGUUCAAGCCGGUGAUGGCAUUGCAAGAACAGGAAGAGGACGGCGAUGAUGGCGAGGAAGAAGAUGACAAGGAGGGGAUGAUGGGGGCGUGGGGGAGCUGAUUUCUCCUUGUCUCGAGGUGUGCUGUCCACUUGUGGAGUAGUAAGAUAUUGGCACAAUAGGCUCAAUCACUUUUUCCCCUUUUCUUCUUGGUUUGAUGUGCUUGCCUUUUCUUCGUCUAAUUCAUCAUUACAUACCCUUCCUGUGUAAGUUUAUUUCGUUUUGCUGU